AUAUUUUAUGCUUAAAUUUUUAGAGUUUUGAUUUUAUUUGUUUAAUUUUCAGAUUUUAAGGAAGGAAUAUAUAUGUUUUCAAGUCAAUAUUUUUGAAUUGGAGAUGCUAUUUACACUAAGAUAGAUAGUAGCUGAGCUGAGCACUACUGGGCCAAUUGAUCUAUCAAGUUGAACUAUAAAUUGUCAAGCAUUGUAUGACUCAUCUUAUCAGGGAAGGACAGAAGAAGUUCAUUAAUGGCUCAAAGAGAGUGAACUUGUGUCUUUUUUCAUAUCAAUUUCAUGCUUGAAGACUUGGCAUUUGUUCAGAAGUUGAAUAAGUAACCAUGUUAUUAUUUUCGUAUGGAAGAUAUCUUUCAUAAAUUGCAAUACACUCUUUCUAAGCUCUUUCUGAAAUCGUGUUCAAACUUAAUGGAAGUUCACUCUAUCUUGUACAAGAUGAUCAAUUGAAUUUUAACAUUACCAUUCA